rnacentral:rRNA from 1 species
GAAUCUUAGACAAUGGGCGCAAGCCUGAUCUAGCCAUGCCGCGUGAGUGAUGAAGGCCUUAGGGUCGUAAAGCUCUUUCGCCAGGGAUGAUAAUGACAGUACCUGGUAAAGAAACCCCGGCUAACUCCGUGCCAGCAGCCGCGGUAAUACGGAGGGGGUUAGCGUUGUUCGGAAUUACUGGGCGUAAAGCGCGCGUAGGCGGAUUGGAAAGUUGGGGGUGAAAUCCCAGGGCUCAACCCUGGAACUGCCUCCAAAACUAUCAGUCUAGAGUUCGAGAGAGGUGAGUGGAACUCCGAGUGUAGAGGUGAAAUUCGUAGAUAUUCGGAAGAACACCAGUGGCGAAGGCGGCUCACUGGCUCGAWACUGACGCUGAGGUGCGAAAGUGUGGGGAGCAAACAGGAUUAGAUACCCUGGUAGUCCACACCGUAAACGAUGAAUGCCAGUCGUCGGGUAGCAUGCUAUUCGGUGACAC